GGAAAGGGGUGGGGGGGGGGAAAGUACUCCCAUAACCUAGAAGGAUUGGAAGCACAUGCAAUGUUGUAUUGCAGACUAAAACCAUCAUCCCAGGUUUUAGUUCUACCACAUUUAAAAAUAUGGAAUUGUACAACAUUUGAUUCUUUCACAUGGAUUGGAAGUUGGUCAACAAACAGAACCACUCGUCAAGAAGAGUGAGAUUUGAACAAGUCAUCUUUCAGUCAAUGAAUGUCGAAGAACCUCCAG